GAUUAGAAUUUUUUAUAAUUUAUUUAUAAACAUUUUAAAUGUUAGAAUAUGAUUUGAUAAUUUUAGAUUUUUUUUCUAGUUCAUAUUACGCUACAAUUAUUUUUUACUAAUAGAGUAAUAGGAUCCCAUCUCGGGUUGUUGGUGAAGGUUGUGUUGAGGUUGUUGUUGAGGUUGUUGGUGAAGGUUGUGUUGAGGUUGUUGGUGAGGGUGUGUUGAGGUUGUUGGUGAAGGUUGUGUUGAGGUUGUUGGUGAGGGUGUGUUGAGGUUGUUGGUGAAGGUUGUGUUGAGGUUGUUGGUGAGGGUGUGUUGAGGUUGUUGGUGAGGGUGUGUUGAGGUUGUUGGUGAAGGUUGUGUUGAGGUUGUUGGUGAGGGUGUGUUGAGGUUGUUGGUGAAGGUUGUGUUGAGGUUGUUGGUGAAGGUUGUGUUGAGGUUGUUGGUGAGGGUGUGUUGAGGUUGUUGGUGAGGAUGUGUUGAGGUUGUGUGUUGAGGUUGUUGGUGAAGGUUGUGUUGAGGUUGUUGGUGAAGGUUGUGUUGAGGUUAUUGGUGAAGGUUGUGUUGAGGUUGUGUGUUGAGGUUGUGUGUUGAGGUUGUUGGUGAGGGUGUGUUGAGGUUGUUGGUGAGGGUGUGUUGAGGUUGUGUGUUGAGGUUGUUGGUGAAGGUUGUGUUGAGGUUGUUGGUGAGGGUGUGUUGAGGUUGUUGGUGAGGAUGUGUUGAGGUUGUGUGUUGAGGUUGUUGGUGAAGGUUGUGUUGAGGUUGUUGGUGAAGGUUGUGUUGAGGUUGUUGGUGAGGGUGUGUUGAGGUUGUUGGUGAGGAUGUGUUGAGGUUGUGUGUUGAGGUUGUUGGUGAAGGUUGUGUUGAGGUUGUUGGUGAAGGUUGUGUUGAGGUUAUUGGUGAAGGUUGUGUUGAGGUUGUGUGUUGAGGUUGUGUGUUGAGGUUGUUGGUGAGGGUGUGUUGAGGUUGUUGGUGAGGGUGUGUUGAGGUUGUGUGUUGAGGUUGUUGGUGAAGGUUGUGUUGAGGUUGUUGGUGAGGGUGUGUUGAGGUUGUUGGUGAGGAUGUGUUGAGGUUGUGUGUUGAGGUUGUUGGUGAAGGUUGUGUUGAGGUUAUUGGUGAAGGUUGUUGGUGAAGGUUGUGUUGAGGUUGUGUGUUGAGGUUGUUGGUGAAGGUUGUGUUGAGGUUGUGUGUUGAGGUUGUGUGGUGAGGGUGUGUUGAGGUUGUGUGUUGAGGUUGGUCAGGUUUAUUAGGAGGUAAGAUUGUUGGCUUGUGGUCAGGAUUUUAUUCCUGAUUAAAUUUUGACACGCCACAAACCGCCUUCAUUUUGUAACAGCAGCAAAAUAAUGAUGAGUUUCUCAGUAGAGGAAGUGAUGAGGCGAGGCACCGAGCGGCAUGCUGUGACUCACAAGCCCGGAAACCAAGAGUGUGUGUGUGUGUGUGUGUGUGUGUGUGUGUGUGUUUGUGUGCUAGGUACUGUGGUAGGCAUUAAACUGGGCAUGCUCAGACAAUGAGUUAAACUAUUUGGCUUGCUUUGCUCUGUCUCUGUGUGUGUGUGUGUGUGUGUGUGUGUGUUUGGCACACAGCUUCUAAAGCUUCUUUAGAUCUUAUAAAAGCUGAAAGGAUUUGAACUUUAAGAGCAUCUUUGCGUUCCUCGCAGCUGGAUAGAGAAAAGAAAAGGAAAUGAUCGAGGACAAACUUCUGUUUAUUUAUUUAUCAAGGUUUUUAGAACUGAAAUGUGUUUUAGCGUCAUAUAGAACAAUUCAUUAGCUAAACCAGACUCUGGCAAUGUUUUAUUAUUAUUAUUACUAGUAGUAGUAGGUCAGUUAGUUAGUUAGUUAGUGUCGGCUCCUCUCAGUCUCUUUGUUCUUUUGUGUGUGUUUUUUUUCUUUUUAUUUACUUCUUUUAUAUUUCGAGGCUAAAAGAGAUUCCUCGGCUCUCUGCUGAAACUUUUGCUUAAACUUCUGCGUUACUGAACGUUAAGUGUUCCAUUAGCACGGAGCUAGCGGCUGAUCAGGCCUCUAGGUAGACACUAGAACUCAGUUAAAGGUGAUGAUGCAUCUUGAUUUGAUGUUGCUUCUGAACUCGUGGACGUGGAGUUUGGAUGAAUGGAUGGAAAGAUGGAUGGAUGGAUAGAUAGAGGGAUGGAUGAACAGGUGGAUAAAUGAAUAGAGAUAGAUAGAUAGAUAGAUAGAUAGAUAGAUAGAUAGAUAGAUAGAUAGAUAGAUAGAUAGAUAGAUGUUCCAGAAUUUCCUUGAUGUUAGUUUUAUUUUUAUUUUUUUUGUCACCAAUUUGUUUACUGAUUUAAUUCGAGUUGUUUCAGCAUGAUUCAGUGCUGUUCGUUCUAAAUGACUCUCAAAUGAAUCAUGUCAAUUGAUUCGCACAAACCAGCAAAUCACAUAAAAUGAAACUUGUUAAAUAUUAACAAUAAUAUUAAUGUUAGCAAUAACAGCAGGAUAAAACAUGCUAGCAUCCAGGUGAAGGUGUAACCUCUCACCUUUCUCUCUUCUGAAUCAAUGAGUCAAAAAAAGUGCUUCAAAAGAAUCAUCUUCACUUGAUUCCUGAAGUGGAUCACUAUAAAUAAACGUUGGCUGCUUAGUUUUUCAGCGAAACAUGUCCAAGACUUGAAAUACUGUUGCGACUCCGCCGUAGCCAUUGGGAAGAAUUUAAUGAGAGGAUAAAUUCCCAGAAUUCCAAGCAUUCAGGACACGCAUGGGCCGGAGAACACGGGUGUUUUUUGUUAUCAGCUUUCGUUCCAUUCUUUAAUAUCCUCAUCCUUCAGAUGUUCCUGUCUGGUUGAGUUAGCAAGCACUGUUAGCUUCGCUAGCAUGCCUUCAAUUUACAUCAACAACAUAUAUAUUUUUUUAAAUUCUGUAUUUCAGUGGAAGAACUUCCUCUGAUUUGGGAUUUAUAGAUUUUUGUUAAUUUUUAUUUCAUUUUAUAAUUAUUUGAAUUAAUUAAUGAAAUUUUUAUAGAUAAGUGUUUGCUUUUUAUACUUUUAUUUCAAAGCUAUUUAUUUAAUUUAUUUAUGUGAUUUCUCUCUUUCUGCCCCCCCCUCUCUUUGCCCUUUUUCUCUCCCUCUCUCUCUCUGCCCUUUCUCCCCCCCCCAUCUCUCUCUCUCCUUUUGUCUCUCUCUCUCUUUCUCCCACUCUCUCUUUCUGUCUCACUCUCCCUCUCUUUCCCUUCCUCUAACACCC